rnacentral:rRNA from 1 species
UACGGAGGGUGCGAGCGUUGUCCGGAAUCACUGGGCGUAAAGGGCGUGCAGGCGGUUUGUUAAGUGCAGGGUGAAAGCUCCCGGCUCAACUGGGCGGGGUCGGCGGAUACGGCCGAGCUGGAGCAAGCUAGGGGGUAAUGGAAUUCCCGGUGUAGUGGUGGAAUGCGUAGAUAUCGGGAGGAACACCAGUGGCGAAGGCGGUUACCUGGAGCUUUGCUGACGCUGAUGCGCGAAAGCGUGGGGAGCGAUCCGG